rnacentral:rRNA from 1 species
AUAGGGUCAAGCGACUAAGUGCAUCUGGUGGAUGCCUUGGCGAUCACAGGCGAUGAAGGACGUGUAAGCCUGCGAAAAGCGCGGGGGAGCUGGCAAUAGAGCUUUGAUCCCGCGAUAUCCGAAUGGGGAAACCCGGCCCUUAGGGGUCAUCCCUGACUGAAUACAUAGGUCAGAGGAAGCGAACUCAGCGAACUGAAACAUCUAAGUAGCUGAAGGAAAAGAAAUCAACCGAGAUUCCGUAAGUAGUGGCGAGCGAACGCGGAACAGCCUGUAUGUGUUAUGAGUUGCGUUA